rnacentral:lncRNA from 1 species
ACACCAAUAUUUUUGCAGCGGAAAUCUUAUUACCAAAUUUUACAAGUUACAAAAAUUUUAUAUUAUUUUAUCGGAGUGAUUACAAAAGUAUAAGUUUGAAAUAUAUGCUAGCUCAAAUGACCAUCCUCAGUAAGAAGAUAAAGACGGGUUAUACUUAUAUAAGAAGGUCGAGCCCACCGGCACUUAACACCAUCAAAAGCAGCACAAAGUUAGAACCUGAAAAACAACAGGGAAUAAAACCCUGAGUAUGGAAUUACUCAGCAAGACUUACCCGACUAAAGAAAAGACUCUCAAGGGUAUGCUGGAUUUGGGAAUCAAGGAGAGGCUUUAGCAAGAAUCAACUUAGAUACUUUUGCAGAAAUAGCUUACUAAAGUGAGUCCUUACUUCCAAUAUUUUAACGCCAAAUUAAAUAUUAAUAGACUCUGUUUGCAUAUGGUCUACUUUCACCAUCUCAUCAAUACAACAUCAUUUUUAUUCAUGAGAUUCACAUCCUGACUUAGGUUGUAGGUCGGAGAUCAAGUCUCCACUCUCCGGGGAUAUAACGGCGAUCCGAAUCGAUUUACUCAGCUGAGGAUCUCUAACCACACGACAUAUGUUUCUCGUAAACCUUGCAUGUCUACCAUUCCCACGGAUCCUCCACUGCAUGAACAGGUCCGCGCCACCCGAGAGCACACCACCCUUUUUAGGCGGUCCUUUGCCAGGAGGGUACGUGCCACUCUCGCCAUCUCUCCACUCCCAGUGCGCGAUUGUCUUUUCAUGUAUGGAAUAGCCGGGUUCAAGCUUACCCUGUCCCAUUUCCAGGGCAUGUGGCUAGUUAAGAUAGUCCUUGAUCUAUCAGGCCUACAUACGCAUCCAAUCCUUAAUUAACCUGGACGGAACAUCACCUGUUCCUAGCCCAAGUCCCGAUUUAAGUACUUCCACCCUUAGGAUUGUUUCAUGUUCCUAAGGAUGAAAAGAGCAUUAUAGGGAACUUUGCAGUAAGAUCCCACCAUGCUCCCAAGGAAAAUAUUCUUGCAGGUAGAAGCCACCCUUCCUCAGGAUAACCCUGAGCGAGGCAUAAGUGCAAAGGACAAACUCUACCUGCCUAUAAGCAGGGCUAAGCAUUUUUUGUAAAUCAUAUUUUGAUACUUCACUAGAAGUAUCUAUAAAGGUAUGGAUAUCAAGGAAGGCAAUGCAUCAAAGGGUUCCAAGCAACUCCUAUAAACCUAAUGCACAUUUCACUAGACUUAAAGUGUGCAAAAAUUAUUUAAAAACACAAGGAAGGGGUUGCAUGCACCGGGGCUUGCCUGGAAUAAACACUAUGUUAGUGUUUGUUAGUGACGCGCGCUUGACGAGUAUCCCUCGACCGAACAUUCACUUGAUUUAACCAUCUUCAGGUUGGUCCAUCAGCUUCACCAUGCGGAGUAGUCCACGCUUGGGGUCGACUUGACUCAAGUUCUCCGCAUCUCGUGGUUAAUCAAUGUACCUAAAUGAUUUGCAUAAUGCACAUGAAUGCAUAUAAACCAGAAUAUCACAAAUCUAAAUAAGGCUACACGACGGUGAAAUAAACACCUAGCGGCGAGGCGUUGUAUAAUUUUAUACGAAAAUACUAGUUAUCGACGUAUGACUAAGCACAAUAAUUACACUUCUCGAACCUAACGCAAACAUCACCAACCACAAACUAUACACAUGAAAUACAAUUAGCCUAAUCACAACUUAUCAAUUAAUUAAUAAAAUUCUAAACUUAUCCCUUGCUUUAUAAAUUAUACUACAUCUUUAUAAGUGAUUAAAAUAUUUCAUCAAUACAUGUCUACUAAAAUUCUACUCGGUACACUAAUUCAACUAAUUGACCGGAAUAGCGAAAUAACUCGCUAUAACUGAAUCUGGCUCGAUAAUCGCAAGAACUGCGAAGUCGACGAGAGUUUCGUGACUUACGCAAUUUAUCGAGCACCUUAAUGAGCACCGCACUAGCACAUUAAUUUAUUCAACGAUUGAACUAUUCUGAAUAAUUUAUCAGCUUACCGCUUCCACAGAUGACACGAAUACGCGAGAUCGGUAGCGAUUUUCCGAUCAAGGCAAUUGGUUGAGCGCUUGGGGAAUAUCGCGCUGCUAGCUUCGUCUUCACCCGAUCCUUGUGAUUUCUUGCUGACGCGCGGAACGACGACGACACAGGAGGGUGACGUAUAUAGAGCUGCACCCGCGACGCGACAACGAACGACCGGCGGAAUCGACGACGCGAUUGGGAAUUAAAGCCGAGCGAGCCGAGAGGGCACGUUGGCGAGCAGGAAACAGGACGCGCGGCGAAAUUCCGGGCGCGACGCGGGGACGACGGCGUUGUGAUGAAUAGGAAACCAAUGACCGGCAAAAAAAAACACGACGCCGGACAUAGCAAAACGACGGCGAUGCACUGGAGCUUCAACCCUUUGUUAGAUAUUUCGUCGAGAAGCCUCCAACAGCAGCAACAAAGCUUUUGUGCACGCUGUUGCUGUCCAAAUGAAGGACGGUGCUUCCGAUCCUAGCAACGUACAGCCCGGCGAGCGGAGGAAAGCGCACAGGGCACGGCGGCCAGGGACUCGGCAACGCAGCAACUGCGAGCUAGAGCAGAGGUUGACCAGCCAAAGCAUCAUCGGCAAGCUCAACUCGACGCGCAGAGGGAGCUCGGUUCAGUGGCCAUGGAGGAGAGAGAAAAGCAGGGCGCACAGGAACAGAGGACCACGCGCGGCAGAGAGAAGCUCCGCGAGCUGGGGCAAGCCAUGCGCAUGGAAGAAGACUAGAGGCUGGCGAGCUGCUCGGCUGGAGCAGGGACUCGCACAGGAGGAGAGGCGAGCGUCGUGGGAGGUUGAGGGUGAGCGACGGCACUGGUCUCAGCGACUAGAGCAGGGAGGGGUGUGCGGGAUUUUUCUCCCUGUGUUGAGCGGCGCGGCGGCGAGGAGAUAAGGUAGAAGAAGAUGGGCGCGCAGCAGCAAAAAAAAUCCCACAGCGGAUGUGGAUGGCUGAGAGUACGGUUGGGAAAAAAAUCAAAGGGGAGGAGGCGGCGUGGGAUAAGGAUUCCUGGGAUAUUUUCCUUUUUUUAGAUUUUUAAUUUCUUUAAAACGAAAAAUCACAGAUAUUUUAGAUCCUAAAUUUUCUUAGCGACGUAUACGGGGUAGACAGUAAUCGUGACAUGGUUUUGAUUGGGCGAAUACUUUGGACUCAAAUGAAUUUGCACCUGUUAUUUAUACCCAAAAUUUUGGAUCGGGCAAGAAACGACAGACCGAAAUAAACUGAUUUCGGCACUGAUAAUUUGUUCGGCGUGAUUCGACCGAAAUUAGCCGAAACAACAUCUGCGAACUUAUACGCGAUUUUGUCUUCGAAACAGCGUGCAGAAGAAUAAAUUGGAUUAUAAACUCGCACACGAUUUUUCUCAGACAACGCGCGAUACAAAUUAUAUUGUCCCGAACAUUUUAGUCGUUGAGUUCAAAUUAAUUUGUUCAGGAUAAAAAUCGUCCAAGUGGUUCGAGCUUCCGAAUUCGUAUUCGCGCAAGCGACGAAUUUUAAAUAACCACCGGACGCACCGAUUUUCGGAACAACUAGGUUCCGAAUAUCACGAAAAUUUAGGACAAACCCGGAUAGAUGAAAAUAAAAACGAUGUCGCACUCGCGACAAACGAAAUAGAUGCGAUAUAUAAAAAUCGCGAUAGCGAAAAUAAUUAGAAUUUAGCAUCUGUUUUAUGCACUGAUAUUUCGUGCUUAAGUCCAUACUCGUUGUCGAGCAGACGGUAAACACAUGAGGUGUUACAGCCCUCCCCCCUUAAAAGAAUCUCGUCCCGAGAUUCGGAGCGAAAGACUUUCAAGAGUAGAGAAGCAUGUAACCCACAUCCAUAUCAGCGGUAAUCAUAAGGCAGUUCUGAGCGAAGGCAAGUGUCUCAGGAUGUGGUUUCUCUAGUGGAUAUAACAUGUAUCGCCUUAGGCUAAUUCAGAAAUGUCCACCAAUAGAAACAAUAUCUGCCAGAGGACCACAUAAGGUUCCAUGUGUGCAGUUUGCCUCUUUUUUUCUGAUGACACUGUACUAUCUGAGUCUGUUGAGCGAGCGAUAAUACGCGAUUUUACCUAAACAGAAUCAGAUGCACCAUCUUGGGUAAAACACGCAGAAGGAGGUUUACCAACAAGUGGUCGCAGUGAGUUCGUAGCACACGAGACGGAUGUGGAUGUCGAAUACUGUCGUGGUUAACAUGUGGUUAACCCGAGAAUUCAAGUCCACAAAAGAUGGUAUAGAUUCGAGAGAAUCACCAGCGGAGGGAUCUGUAGAUGCGGACUUUGUAACCAAUCCAUUUUAUCGAGCACUAAUCAUGGCUCGACUUGAUCACACAUGCUAGAAAAGCACACGUGAGGCAAUCGAGGCAUGACUAGAGCGAUCAUUAGGUGGUUAUUGGCCGACUUAAUCUUGAUUCUUGAAAGUACUUCCUUAAGUGGGUUGAACCAAAAUGAGUUUAGGCAAAUCGAUAAAACGAUCUCUAAACUCAAUCUUUGUUCAUUGGGUAGUUACAAGUUAGUAAAACCAACUUGUUGAACUACAUUUGACAUUGAGCAGGUCCUCUCAAUACCAUCGGUAAGCCGAGGGUCGAGAGUUCUCUCUUGUUAACAGUUGAGCAUGUAGUUGGAUAAAAACCUAUUUGGUCAUGUGGUUCAUCCGUUUCUUCAUGCGAGAUGAACGGACAGGGUUCAGAAAUACAUGGACUAAAUAGGGGAGCAAUUGAACAACUCCUGCAUCUCAGCAGCAGGGAAAGUCAAUCUCCAUUUUGAGAGCUAAUUAGUUGUUUUCCAACACUAAAAAGCUCCAAGGCUUUACCUUUACACAAAGGAUGUAAAGGGAACUUAUAUGAGUAGUCACUACCAAGAUCAAAAGAAUAAGACCACACAUGAAAGUGGUAUGCCCUUUUGAUCCAACGUAGAUGACAGAUGUUGCUUGAUCACUUCACAAACAACAUAAAAAUUAUUUGAAGGGAAGGUCCACGGAAGAUAACCAUCAGGGUAGUUCCACAAUUGAUCAUGACCAGAGACCUUGAUACCAGCAUCCGACGAGUAGCACAGUCCUGUGUGCGCAUUCAUAGGAGGCUCUCAGUUUCGCUGCGGCACCAUAAGUCAUUAACCAUGACACCAUUACCGAACUGGCACCAAUAACAAUCUCACGUAGCAAAAAUAGAUUGUGCCAAGAUAACGCAUUGACAUAGUCUCAUAAUGGAUUACAACUACUAACUGGGAUACCAGCGCGUGUCGAGUAGCACAACCAUGUGUGCGCACCCACAGAAGGCCCUCGGUUUCGUCGCGGCAUCGCCAGUUUUAGUCAUAACGCCAUUACCAGACAUAACCAAUAAGAAAUCUCACGCGACACAAAUGAAUUGAACGAGGGUGACAACAUACAAAGAAAUACUCCACCUGUAAAAAUGGUUACAAGAAGAGAGCCAAAUAGAUUAUGGCCCAAGGAAAUGAACAAGACAUGGCCAUAACCUAAACUUAAUGAAAGGAGUACGAUGGGAGACUGUUAAUUCAGCCCUAAGCAUAUUUCUAUGCUCAUCGUAGAGAUCACAAGGUCAAGGAUUAAAUUGAUAUGCCUUCGAUAGACAUGAGGAAACCAAAGGCAUCAAACUCAAGAAAAUGGUCGGACAUGUCUUUCCUAAGUUAGGUUGAUAAAACAACGGUAGGAUCCUCAAGAAGAAGCAAACUGAAAUUAGGGGUAUCAGCUUGCACCAACAAAGCAAAGGCAUGGUUUUGGUUGGAAAUAGGACCAUAAAAGAGUUAUAAGCUAAUUACCAAGAAUACAGACUCGAGAUUCUUGUUUUAAGCUUGGGUACAUUUUAUGUUCAACAAAGAAAUUAUCUAGGCAUUUAUUUUUAUCUGUUUGGUCAUAGAGUGAUAAUGGACAAUUCAACUUUGGGUCAUGGUUCACUAAAUAAGAACACGACCUAUUUUUUGGUUUAAGCAAACAAACUACUAACCUUCUAUCAGUACAUCAAGCACCAAAGCAAACACAUAUAUAACACCUAAAUUGGUUACCUAAAGAAUGGAGGACAUCUAUUUCAUUGGGGUUCAUAACACAAUAUUACACCACAUUAUCUACAAUCACUGGUUACUGGAAUAAGGAUGAGAGAAGCAUUUUGGGUGUAUAGGUGACAAACAGGAUGCAACAAUCAGGAUGCAUGCUCGUCCUAUUCGUCCUCACUGAUUUUGCCAACCAAAUGUGGCAAUAGCGUUCUAUCUCGGUGGCAUACUUACGACUCUCACGGUAUUUUGCUAGUCGUCAGCUACACAUACGUUUUCGAGGUUAGUAUACCUGCAGAAAAAUCCAUCACAGCCCAAUUUCCAAUGAUGCAGUUCACUCAUGACAGUUUAUCACAGUUUAUACUCCAUAUAUUGCUAUAUGGAGGCCAGCUCAUCAUUAAGCGCCGAGCCACGCAUAGGCGCCGUUGCCACACUUUAACCAUAGGGCAACUCAUUAUGGUAACUCACCUUCUUACCUGAGCGUAGGUGCGUCGUUACAAGUACAUUACACUUCUCAGUAUUCCCAUGUCUGUAUACCCAUACACAUCCAUGGGUUACUGAAUUCCUAGAAAAAUAAAUACUCCACAUCACAGCCUUCAUAUAUACAUAUGUGGAACAUGUAUAUAAUCAUGCGCUUUUUACACUCUUCCCUAGACCGACGUUUGUUCGGUCAUACUCUCACAUCUCACCUUACCUUGAGCGUCGAUCCAUUCAAGACUGAAUGGCUUCAAAAAUAACAAUACACAUGUAUGCAAUACCCACCCGGUUGUGGGUUAGUGGUUUUCAACUAAGCCACCUGAUAAUCCUUAAUUUAGGGCUUAACAGAGGAUGUCGCUAGCAUUAUAGUUUUUCAAAGUUGUUUUUCAAAGCCAAACAAUGUGUUUAGUUGAAAAUAGGUUUUUCGAAACCAAAACUUUUGUUUUGAAAAUACGUAUGUGACCGUAGAUACUUAAUCCUGCUCCGAUACCAGCUGUGGCAGAACCUCCAAGUUAUCGGGCCCACAUGCACCUGUCCUUGUCUCAAAGACCUCAGACGGCCAUGCAUGUGCACCAGAUAACUUAACAGGAUCCAUCCGAUUGCCCCAAGGACACCGGAUAAACCACUUACAACCAGAACCGCGGGAUUAAGUAACACAAAUCACACACACCAAUAUUUUUGCAGCGGAAAUCUUAUUACCAAAUUUUACAAGUUACAAAAAUUUUAUAUUAUUUUAUCGGAGUGAUUACAAAAGUAUAAGUUUGAAAUAUAUGCUAGCUCAAAUGACCAUCCUCAGUAAGAAGAUAAAGACGGGUUAUACUUAUAUAAGAAGGCCGAGCCCACCGGCACUUAACACCAUCAAAAGCAGCACAAAGUUAGAACCUGAAAAACAACAGGGAAUAAAACCCUGAGUAUGGAAUUACUCAGCAAGACUUACCCGACUAAAGAAAAGACUCUCAAGGGUAUGCUGGAUUUGGGAAUCAAGGAGAGGCUUUAGCAAGAAUCAACUUAGAUACUUUUGCAGAAAUAGCUUACUAAAGUGAGUCCUUACUUCCAAUAUUUUAACGCCAAAUUAAAUAUUAAUAGACUCUGUUUGCAUAUGGUCUACUUUCACCAUCUCAUCAAUACAACAUCAUUUUUAUUCAUGAGAUUCACAUCCUGACUUAGGUUG